UAUACGUCGCCACAACGUAACUUUGUAACGUUGCCAGUUGGUAACUACGACGUCGUGGCAACCUUGUGGAUCUAUAGUCGUGUGUUGGUUUCUAAUCAUGUAAAUGAACAAAGAAGGUUUUCUUCAGAAGCUUGAACACCGAACCAUUUACUCCUCCACAUCUACUCCUCCGUCCACUCCUCUACAUGUCCCUAAAACAAGAAAAAUGAAAUAAAAGAAAGAAAGGACCAGCUUUCCAUUUCAUGACGGCAUCUGGAAUUAAACAGAGGUCACAGCCGUUACAGUAUGCUGUAGUGGCUCCAUACAUUGUUAGUGGCUACUGCGCGCAUUACCCUCCUUACACACUCCCCUGGACUGGCCCCACUAAUAAGGCUGAGAUGGUGUGUCUGGAAAAAAAACACCAUUUGUUGGCAUGCAGGGUCCUUAAGGUGGUUCUCAAGGUCCUCCAAUUCCUCCAUGCACUGAGCUGUCUUGAGGUCCAAGAUAUCAUCCUCCCUUUGACGACCCUGGUUCCUCCGCAGUAAAAGUAGAAUUUCCCUCUGGGAGGCCGCCAGGGUGUCUACUUUCUGCAGCAGCACCUGCAGUGUUUCUGCAAUAAAGGUUUUUCUUUAAAUAAUUGAAGGAUUGAAAAAAGGUAACUUAUUUUAAUUUUAAAUAUUAACAGAAUAAUUUACCAACAAAAAAAAAAUUAAUUAACCUAAGGGUUAGAGGUAGAGGUCCCAGUAACCACGGGACCCGACAAGAUUUCUUGUGAUGCGAGAUUAAAUUCCCAAGUAAAACGCGGCAGCAGUCGAUAACUUUGGUGUAAUUUGAGAGCGGUUGGUCUAACAAUAUCUUUUUCCCGACAUCCUUUCAGAACAGCAUAUCUGCGCUUUAUUCUUGUUGACCACAGGUACAUCCUGCACUCAGGACUGUUAUGCAUGCGCUGCACGCAUGAACCAGUGCUUUCUGCGGCAGAUUUUACAUGCGGGGUCAGCAUGUGCAUAAUAGUGUUCAGUGACAGAGCGGUACAAGGAUGGAGCAAAGUGUGGAUGUGCUGUCCUUGAAGGACGUUUAACAUGUUUUAAUAUAUUAUAUAUAUAUAUAUAUAUAUAGGCUAUAAUAAUUGACAGAUGUUGUAUAUAUUUAUUUAUUUUCUGUGACACUUUACUUACCAAUUUAGUAUUUUGACAAGAUGAAUAAAAAAUAGCUAAUAGGCUAUAUUUGUAUAUUUGUAAUAGGCUUUUUUUCCUACUGUGUUAAGACACAAAAUAUGUUUAACAUUCUAGUUAGAGGUAAACGCAUUUGUGUACAUUUUGUAUUUUUUGAUCACAUUUAAACACAUUUGCUAUCUUGUAUCUUUUACCUUUGAGGUCUUUUGGCACUGAAAAAUCUUGUGGACGCCUUGUCCAUGGUUGUCUCUCUGCUGAAAAGGUAGCAUCACAAUUCUGUUAGACAAUUAUGCAGACAUAUGCAG
ensembl:lncRNA